AUUUUAAUGGUCUUUUAUAGGGCCUAUAACUUCUAGGAUGAUUGUCCGUGGCCAAAAACAAUCUGAAAAAAGCAAGCAUUAAACCCAGCCAAGUGCAAGAGCCACAAUUGUCCAUGGUUAUUUUCAGUAGAAGGCAUGCAAGACCCAAUCACUCCUACUGGUUUUGACCAGUGAAAGCAUUUCCUUCUGUUCUUUCC
rnacentral:lncRNA from 11 species